rnacentral:rRNA from 1 species
CAGCAGCCGCGGUAAUACGUAGGUGGCAAGCGUUGUCCGGAAUUAUUGGGCGUAAAGGGCUCGCAGGCGGUUUCUUAAGUCUGAUGUGAAAGCCCCCGGCUCAACCGGGGAGGGUCAUUGGAAACUGGGAAACUUGAGUGCAGAAGAGGAGAGUGGAAUUCCACGUGUAGCGGUGAAAUGCGUAGAGAUGUGGAGGAACACCAGUGGCGAAGGCGACUCUCUGGUCUGUAACUGACGCUGAGGAGCGAAAGCGUGGGGAGCGAAUAGGAUUAGAUACCCCAGUAGUCCCUGUCUCUUAUAC